UACACGCUCGACUCCUGGUGCAUCAUUGGUUACGGUCAGGUAAACGUAUCUGACAUUUGAGUCAGCUGGUUUCUUUGCAUUGUGUCUGCAUUCCUCCAUCUGAGCAAUGAUUAACCGGCAGCGUGGGAAGAUAUGCUUUUCUACCUUUCGUCCUCCUGACUCAGAAAACUUUUUCACGCCACUAGUUAUGAAGCGGAAAAGACUUGUUUGUGUGGCUGAGUGGGUGUGCGUUCACAUAUGUCUUACCACCGACACCAAGAAACUCUGAAAACGUUCACAGCUUUGCACGUUGGCGGUGUAUCCUGUGUUUCUAAAAGAGACAUGAAGACAAAACGGAGUCCCCGCAUUUCCUUUUGUGAAGUUAAAAGUCUUGCUUUAGGCAAUCAACCAGUCAGUAUCCUAAAUAAAGUCUUCACAGAUCGUGACAAAGCCAGAAAUUAGGUUUUCCUACAGUAUUCCCUACCGAAAAUAACAUGGUUUUUAGUCGUUUUAGUGUUUUUAGUCUGUUGUCUUGAUUAAUUGGAAGCAUGUCUGGUUUAUGUAUCUGGGUUAAAUGAACCAAUACCUUUUUUGGAAUAUAAUUUUCUUCAUCUACUGUAUUUAAAGACAUUGGUGGUCUAUGUUCCUGUUUCUACAAACUGUUAACCAUGUGAUAUGUUGCUGCCAUCAUCGUCUGGUAGCUUCCUGCAUCGACAUCGAUGUUGACGCACUAAUUACAUGCAGAUCUUUGUCUGCAUGAGAGAUUUAAGAUGCUGUAUUCCUCUGCGGGGUUGCCUUAGGCAUAUAUCUAUAGUGUGUGCACGAAUGAGAUUAUGUGUGUCCAGAGGGAUAGGCUUGCAAGCAAAAGUCUGCAUGCAUGCACAUUUUCGAUCAGCGUGCUCUCUGUGGCUGUUGCACAUAUUGAUCUCUGCUGUGCAUACACAAUGAAUGGUACACCCCCAACCCAUUAAGCAGGAGCGCAGAUUUCUCACAAAUUUGAGAUCUGAAUCUUGCCAAGAGCCUACCAGAACAUAAUUGUCUUUGUUUAUGACAUCACUGCACAUGUACAUACUUGUAUAUCCACAUUCUACUUUUUUGAAAAUAUUGCAGAAUAAUUGCAAAUGUGCUGUAUGCAAACAAUGUU